AGAGUGGCAUUGUUCUUCGCCGAAGUGAAAGAGAUAUUCGGAAGAAAAUACUAUUUCUGCUGCCCUCUAGAACCAAAUGAAAAUGGUCAGUGUUAUGCAUGCCAUAACCAAGGAGUUGAUGAUCUAAGGCAUCCAGCUACAGCCGUCGCGGGCGAGCGAGCGACGGUGGCAGCCGGAGCGAGGGAGCCCGCGGCGCCGUGACUGGCCAGCGACGGAUCCAUUGCCGCCAUCCGCUUCCUCAGUGACGGCUCCUUUGCCGGGGCCGUGAUCCGCGCCAGUUGCCUCCCUCCCUUGCCGAGAUCCUUCGCCGGGGCCGUGAUCCGCGCCAGCCGCCUCCCUCCCUCGUCGCGGCCGUGAUCCCCGCCAGCCACCUUCCUCCCUCGCCGGGCUCCUUCGCUGGGCCCAUGAUCCGCCCCUCCUGUCUCCCUCCCUCGCCGGGGCUCCUUCGUCGGGGCCGUGAUCCCCGCCAACAGCUGCCUCCCCGGACCUCAUCGCCGGACAUCCACCACAAGCAGGAGCGCCGUCGUCUCCCCAAGCUCCUUCCCUGCAUCAAUGAAACAUGCAAGGCGACACGCGCAGCGAGGGUUUGAUGAGCCAAGCAGAUAUGGGGCACCGCCUGUUGGGUAACACCAGAAAUAACACCUGGAUACUUCAACAAUACAUGCAAAUUUCAAGCUACACCAGAAUCAUCAGAAGCACGGACAAGUUCUUCUAUGCAGCAAACACCGAUAUCUGGGAAUACAAGCUUUUCCACUAUUGGGUUGCAACAAGGUCAACAAUGUCCCCAACAACAAAUGUUUUUCUUCCCUAGCUCUUGCAGAAAGGCAAGGACACACAGGCUUCCACCAGUCGCUCCAUCAACAUCAAUCAUCCGUGCUGCAAAAGCGGUUGCGACGGGAAGACCAGGCCAAAGAGACAGAAAUUUUGACCACUCUAGCAGGGUGCAAAGUACAAUAUAUGAGCCAUAUAUACAGGAGCAACCUUACAACGAAUCUGAGGGGAGACGGUCGUACAAUGUGAGACGGAGAGCUUCGUCAACAAUGCUCCCUCCAAGAGAUGCAUUACCGCAUGUGCCAAGGGUGACACCACCCGCGCCCAUACACCAGGGUGAACAACAAACACCGGAGGCAGCACAGAGCUAUACACAUCCACCUAACAUUGAAGCUUAUGUUCUGCCAAGGCUAGAGGCGCGCUUUGAAAAUUUCAAAGAAGCAAAGGACUUCUACAACGUCUAUGCAAAGCACACGAGUUUCGCUGUCAGGGAAGGCUCCAAGGUUGAGACCAGAGUCUACCUUUAUUGCACGUUCUAUGGAGUCUAUGAAUCGAAGGUGUCAGAAGCAAAUAGACAGCGGAACAAGACGACAGCCAGGACUAACUGCGAGGCUAAAAUGAGCCUGAAGAGGGAAAAGGAUGGAACACUUGUCGUAAAAGAGAUAGUCUGGGACACAACCACAUGCUAUAGCUCACCCCCCAAAUGCUUGUCUUCUUGCACUCCCACAAAAACUUUGACAAAACAAUCUUGGAGUACGUCAAGUAUCUGCAGUUCAAAGGCAUUGAACACACACAAA